AAGCUCGUAGUUGAAUUUCGGGAUCAAUAUGUUGGUCGUGCCAUUGGUACGCACUGGCAUUAUUGGUUUCUACCUUCUGAAGAACCUCGAUGUCAUUAAUUUGGUGUCUUGGGGAAUCAGGACUGUUACUUUGAAAAAAUUAGAGUGUUUAAAGCAAGCUCGCGCUUGAAUACAUUAGCAUGGAAUAAUGGAAUAGGACGUUUGAUUCUAUUUUGUUGGUUUCUAGGAUCGACGUAAUGAUUAAUAGGGAUAGUUGGG
rnacentral:rRNA from 1 species